AUUUUGUGUUUGCACUCAUAUUGGGCUGCCACAAGAGGACUUGGUAGGGAAGAAUCAGAAAAAUAAGCUAAUUUUUCCAAAGUGCAGCACUGUUCUCUCAUCCAUACCGAUGUCCCAAAUUAUUCACCCGUUUUAAGCUUUAUAAAUACUUUCCUCCUUCUUAGUUUUUUCUUACAGAAAAAUUUCUCUGUGCUGCACUGUUCAGAUUGUUUCUUCACAGAAUUCCCUACUGCAUUUCAACUGUCCUCAAGUCUGAUUUCUGUAAUGUGACUGAAAUCUGAACAAUCCUGUUUCUCUCUUAAUUCCAUAAAUCCAGAAAUUGAUUAAGUAAAUUCUUGUCAAAGCAUCCUAUUAAUCUUUGAGAACCCAUGUUGUGUGAUGAUGGUCAGCAUUUGGAUGCAUAAAUUGAUCAAAACUACUACACAAGGCUACUCCAGCAUCUGUAAUUGAGUAGCUGUGUAAGAAACUUAUUCAAGGAGGGGUUUGUAUGCUGCAUGUUCUGUGUGUGUUUUUAUUAGAAUGCUCCCUUUUCUCUAUUGCUGUUCCAUUUUUCUUUACACUGUGUCAUAUGCUGUCCAAUAUUUUACACUUUGUUUCAUCUUUUCUCUAUUUGUAGGAUAAUUCAAACUCAGUAAAGAUGAAGCAAGCCACACUUUGAGGCCAAGUCUUUUAAAAGCUACAUGUUUAUCUCCACUUAAUCUGCUUCCUGCAGUAGGUAGUGUGCCUUUAUGUAAGUGCUAAAGUAAAAUCCAUCCAGCAUUGCAACAUUCAAAACCCUAAUGAUGCUGCCCUCAUUCAAAUCCUAUUGAAACAAAUGGAAAUCUCCAACUAAUUCCAGUGAGAUCUGGUCAAAUCUUUCAAGACAGGGUGUAUCUAUGAACCCCUUCAGAGGUGUUAAAAGUUGUCUGGGCUGGCAUUGCAGAAUGACCAAAAAUAAUUGCUACAUUUUCAGAAGAUGGAACAGCAACUACGGUCUUGGUAUUUGCAUUAAGGAUAGAAAGUCUGCAACCAAAGAGUUCCAAGUGAUUUGCCUGAAGCAAGAUGAUGAUUGUCAAAGCUAGGAUUAGAAUGCAGAGGAACACAGCUCCCAUUCUCAUGCUUCAUCUACUGUAUGCAGUGACCCAUGUGCAUUUUUUAGCACAUUUUUCUUCUAUGUAGCAGAGGAAGAAUCACAAUAUAGUUCUUGAUAAAUGCACUAAAAUAUACUUUUAUUUUUAAGUAUAAAUAUACUUACAUAUAAUAAAUUUAUAUACUUUUAUUUUUAAGUCUUGAUA
rnacentral:lncRNA from 1 species